UCAGUCCGUCGUGUUGCAGCUGCCGUCGGGUGCACUAGACAUCGUGCUGGCUCAAAUCGUUCGAAACAAGCCAUCUCUGGAUAACUCGAGCGCGUACGAACGUACAGCGCAACACCUCCGACCUGAGAUCAGGCA
rnacentral:rRNA from 1 species